CACUAUGGUCUUAGGUUAGUGACCUGGACUGAAAGUCAUCUGGCCACUAUGGUCUUAGGUUAGUGACCUGGACUGAAAGUCAUCUGGCCACUAUGGUCUUAGGUUAGUGACCUGGACUGAAAGUCAUCUGGCCACUAUGGUCUUAGGUUAGUGACCUGGACUGAAAGUCAUCUGGCCACUAUGGUCUUAGGUUAGUGACCUGGACUGAAAGUCAUCUGGCCACUAUGGUCUUAGGUUAGUGACCUGGACUGAAAGUCAUCUGGCCACUCUAUGGUCUUAGGUUAGUGACCUGGACUGAAAGUCAUCUGGCCACUAUGGUCUUAGGUUAGUGACCUGGACUGAAAGUCAUCUGGCCACUAUGGUCUUAGGUUAGUGACCUGGACUGAAAGUCAUCUGGCCACUAUGGUCUUAGGUUAGUGACCUGGACUGAAAGUCAUCUGGCCACUAUGGUCUUAGGUUAGUGACCUGGACUGAAAGUCAUCUGGCCACUAUGGUCUUAGGUUAGUGACCUGGACUGAAAGUCAUCUGGCCACUAUGGUCUUAGGUUAGUGACCUGGACUGAAAGUCAUCUGGCCACUCUAUGGUCUUAGGUUAGUGACCUGGACUGAAAGUCAUCUGGCCACUAUGGUCUUAAGUUAGUGACCUGGACUGAAAGUCAUCUGGCCACUAUGGUCUUAGGUUAGUGACCCGGACUGAAAGUCACCUGGCCACUAUGGUCUUAGGUUAGUGACCAGGACUGAAAGUCACCUGGCCACUAUGGUCUUAGGUUAGUGACCUGGACUGAAAGUCAUCUGGCCACUCUAUGGUCUUAGGUUAGUGACCUGGACUGAAAGUCACCUGGCCACUCUAUGGUCUUAGGUUAGUGACCUGGACUGAAAGUCAUCUGGCCACUCUAUGGUCUUAGGUUAGUGACCUGGACUGAAAGUCACCUGGCCACUCUAUGGUCUUAGGUUAGUGACCUGGACUGAAAGUCAUCUGGCCACUCUAUGGUCUUAGGUUAGUGACCUGGACUGAAAGUCAUCUGGCCACUCUAUGGUCUUAGGUUAGUGACCUGGACUGAAAGUCAUCUGGCCACUAUGGUCUUAAGUUAGUGACCUGGACUGAAAGUCAUCUGGCCACUAUGGUCUUAGGUUAGUGACCUGGACUGAAAGUCAUCUGGCCACUAUGGUCUUAGGUUAGUGACCUGGACUGAAAGUCAUCUGGCCACUAUGGUCUUAGGUUAGUGACUCGGACUGAAAUUCAUCUGGCCACUAUGGUUACUGGAGGUAACAUAAGCUCAC